rnacentral:lncRNA from 1 species
GUAUAUGUAUGUUUGUAUGUUUUGGUGUGUGUGCAGACACAUAGUUAAGUUGGCCUCCCCUAUUCCUUUUUCACUUAUCAAUUGUUCCUAUAAACAAAAAGGUGAAUUCUACUAUGGUGUGAGACUCUUUAUCAGAUAUUUCAUCCUGAUUAGUUACAGCAAAUCACUUUCUCUUUCUAGGCCUCUGAUUUCUCAUCUAUAAACUUAUGAGAUUGAAUUAGAUUAUCUCUAAUGUUUCCUUCAGACUCUAUUAUUCAUGGUGAUGACAGAUUACUGUUUUUACAUGUUUGCUGUUUAUUCUGUGAAAGGCUGAUAAUUCUCCAUCUGUGAUGUCGGGCUUCACUGACCAGUGGUGUUUUUUUCUGUGCACUUCGGAGGUUUAGUGAUGUCAGGUUUUGCUAGAUGACUUGCUUUAGCCAGUGGAAUCUAAGCAGAAAUGAUGUCUACUAUUACCAGAAGCACUAAGGGCCAUCUGUGGUUCGGCCUUCUCUUUUCCCACUGCCACAACAAUGACAAAGUUCCACAUGAAGACUGCUACUCUGUGGGGAAAAGGAAGAGAUCAGCCUGUUACUGUGUCUAUAUAGAAAGAAGUAGACAUAAGAGACUCCAUUUUGUUCUGUAUUUGAGAUGCUGUUAAUCUGUGCCCCUACCCCCAACCUUGUCCUUGCAAGAGACAUGUGCUGUGGUGACUCAAGGUUUAAUGGAUUUUGGGCUGUGCAGGAUGUGUCUUUGUUAAACAAGUGCCUGAAGGCAGCUUGCUGGUUAAAAGUCAUCACCAUUCUCUUAAUUUCAACUACCCAGGGACACGUACACAGCCAAAGGUCGCAGAGAUCUCUGCCUAGGAAAGCUAGGUAUUGUCCAAGGUUUCUCCCCAUGUGAUAGGCCGAAACAAUGCUGCUAAAAGGUUUAUGGAGAUGUUUGCAUAUGCAUCUCAAGGCACAGCAUUUUCCUUUAAACUUAUUCAUGUCACAGAGAUUUUUGUUCAUAUGUCUUACUGCUGAUUUCCUCCCUACAAUAAUCC